ensembl:misc_RNA Metazoa_SRP Metazoan signal recognition particle RNA
GCCGGGCAUGGUGGCUCAUGCUUGUAAUCCCAGCACUUUGGGAGGCUGAGGCAGGUGGAUCACCUGAGGUCAGGAGUUCUAGACCAGCCUGGCCAACAUAGUGAGACCCCGUCUCUA